rnacentral:rRNA from 1 species
UACGUAGGGGGCAAGCGUUGUCCGGAAUCAUUGGGCGUAAAGAGCGUGUAGGCGGCCAGAUAAGUCCGCUGUGAAAUCUCGAGGCUCAACUUCGAGCUGUCGGUGGAAACUGUCUGGCUAGAGUCCGGAAGAGGAGAAUGGAAUUCCUGGUGUAGCGGUGAAAUGCGCAGAUAUCGGGAGGAACACCGGUGGCGAAGGCGGUUCUCUGGGCCUGCACUGACGCUCAUGCACGAAAGCGUGGGGAGCAAACAGG